rnacentral:rRNA from 1 species
GACGAACGCUGGCGGCGUGCUUAACACAUGCAAGUCGAGCGGUAAGGCCCUUUCGGGGGUACGACGAGCGGCGAACGGGUGAGUAACACGUGGGUGACCUGCCUUUAGCUCUGGGAUAAGCCUGGGAAACUGGGUCUAAUACCGGAUAUGACUCCGCGGUGCAUGCUGUGGGGUGGAAAGCCUUGUGCGGCUGGAGAUGGGCCCGCGGCCUAUCAGCUUGUUGGUGGGGUGAUGGCCUACCAAGGCGACGACGGGUAGCCGGCCUGAGAGGGCGACCGGCCACACUGGGGACUGAGACACGGCCCAGACUCCUACGGGAGGCAGCAGGUGGGGAAUCUUGCGCAAUGGGCGAAAGCCUGACGCAGCGACGCCGCGUGAGGGAUGACGGCCUG